rnacentral:rRNA from 1 species
AUUGAACGCUGGCGGAAUGCUUUACACAUGCAAGUCGAGCGGCAGCACGGGGGCAACCCUGGUGGCGAGCGGCGAACGGGUGAGUAAUACAUCGGAACAUGCCCAGUCGUGGGGGAUAACACUUCGAAAGAAGUGCUAAUACCGCAUACGUCCUGAGGGGGAAAGCGGGGGAUCGCAAGACCUCGCGCGAUUGGAGUGGCCGAUGUCAGAUUAGCUAGUUGGUGGGUAAAGGCCUACCAAGGCAACGAUCUGUAGCUGGUCUGAGAGGAUGAUCAGCCACACUGGGACUGAGACACGGCCCAGACUCCUACGGGAGGCAGCAGUGGGGAAUUUUGGACAAUGGGGGCAACCCUGAUCCAGCCAUUCCGCGUGAGUGAAGAAGGCCUUCGGGUUGUAAAGCUCUUUCGGCAGGAACGAAACGGUGAGCUCUAACAUAGCUUGCUAAUGACGGUACCUGAAGAAGAAGCACCGGCUAACUACGUG